UAUAUUUUAGUAUAUGAGGUACAUAAGUUUUUGAAACUUAAAGGAAAAGUUUAAUUCUUUUAAAUAUAA
rnacentral:tRNA from 1 species